rnacentral:sRNA from 21 species
GUCAGCGACCCCACCGGUAAACCGGGGGGCUUGUGGGAGACUACCCUGAGUGGUCUUGGCUGCGAGCCCCGAUGCUGACCAGCCCCCGGUGUGCUCGCACACCGGAGCCGUUCAGAAGGAGCGCGAAAAAGCAGACCCUGGAGUGGCUUUUCCAGCUCCCGGCUCUUUA